GAGGACAAUCUGACUUGUGCCUGCUCUGAGGUCCCAUGCUCCUGCCCACAGGACACCAACCACCUGCACAGAAAGAGAGAAGCCCACCAGAUGCUUCCUAGGCUCAGAGGUUGGCAUCCCAAGGUGCUUGCCCCCAUCAGCCAGCACAGGCAGCCCCAGGGGGGCCUGGGAAUAUCCCUGCUGAGAGGCCAUUCUCAGCAGCCACUCUACAGCGAGGCCACUAGCAUCUUGCUCUUCGGGGAGUGAAGGCACUGCGAUCGUGAGUCACGCCACUCCCCAAUUAUUUUGAAAGGAAGCUUCCGUAAUGAAGGAGGAGAAUUGUACAGAGCAGUGCCAGCGUUGGGGAAACAUGCCCAACUUCCAUCGGCAGCCGUCAGUCCCCGCUCGCUUCCUUUCUCUUUGCUCGAGGUGCAUAUGACAGGAGCUUCCAAACAGCUUAAGCACAGGAAACUCUGCGAGUGUGUGUGUUUGUCAGAGCGACUUUCAUCCCUCCAUACGUUCCAUGUGUCUGCAAACCCCGCCCUUGUCAGCAGCUGGCGGCAGCUCAACAAUGAAACCGACACUUGUUUCACAGCCUCCAACUGAGCGGAGCUCCCUCCAGUCUCUCUCCCUCCAGCACGGAGAGUAUGUCUGCACACUGUUAUCAAGCUGCAGCGGAUGGUGGAGCCCUCAGCAAGGUUUCCCCAGCUUGAUGGCAGCCCAGAGAGCUCCUCUUCUCUCCACCUGCCACCACAGAGCCCUCCACCACCUCCAGCUGCAGCCCUGUAGCAAUUCCAGCUGGCUCCAGCGGAAAUUCCCAUGCUGGCGAUAAACUCACUACUGGACCGGGCCACCUGGGGACAGGGAGAUUAUAGAAAAUGACUCUGAAGCUCGCUCCAGAAUUGAUGAUGCCAUGAUUAGGACACUUGUUCCUGGAGGCCUUUGAAGUCCCUUCCUGUUUGAAGCCAUUGUCCUUCUAUAGUAAUUAGUUACUUCUGCUAGUUAGUUACUUCUUAGUUCUACUUAUUAGUUACUGUUAUUCUAUAUUAUCAUGUAGCUAUAUUAUACAGUGACUGCGAUGCUUAAGUCUCUUCUCCAAGUUGGUCAUCACUCCACUUAUAUCCUUCUAGCAGCAGGGAGCUCAGUGUGGCUUAAGGCUCAGGGCUGCCUGGAUUGUUCUAUGGCUUUUCGUAGGGUUGAUAUCACCAGCUCUCGCUCUACCCCCAAGGAGUGCGAAGAUGGAGGCUAAUGUCUCUGCUCCCUGACAGCCUGGCUCCCACUGGAAGGUGGCCAUCAUGUAAACCCGAGGCUUCUCUCCUCCAGGAGAACAGCCCUGCUUCCUGAAACGGCUCCUCUCAGGCGUAGUUUUAAGUCCCUUUGAUUGGAAAUGAACAUUUGAAAUCCAGCUCAAUUCAGACUUCUUCCUUCUGGGGGAUUCAGUAGGCAACAUGCACAGCUCUGAACCAGCAUGUUGGUUUACAAAAGUGACAUCAUAACUUCUGCCCCAGGUCAUUCAGCCCUGCAAACCUUGUCUGGCUGGCGAUGUUCAGACCCCAGGGAGCCAGUCAGUCGGCUGGUGGAGCACUCGCUCUGCCCAGAGCCCUGGACUUAGGGAGGGGUUCAGAAGAAGAAAGACUCGCGCUGGCUCUACAGGGCUCUCAGAUUAAGACAGGCUGGAAGAAACUGGAGAGAGAGACUUAAUGACAUUCACCAAGGACGCCAGAGAAGUGCAGUGAAGAAAGUGCAAGUGGUGGAAGAAAUGCCCUGGUGACCGGUGCCAAGGCUUUGGGGGGAAGCUGGGUCACCAUGCAGGAGGAAGCUGAGAGCAAGAGGAAGAGGAAGGCCCUUCCGAAUGAUGUGUCUGGCCACCAGUGCUUUCGCUGAAGUUAAGAUAAGAAAUAUUUCCAAGGAUACCCAGGCGGCCCUUCACCUUACCAGGAGAUUCCUAUUGACAAGAGAAUCAACCAGUCUUUUGAGGUGACCAGGUCUGCUAAGUUGACUUCUGCGUAGAAGAACAGGAAGAAUUCCAGGCCGGGAGCUGCCUCAGCUGGGCCACCCCUUUGCUGGAGCAGCAGCAGCAAGGCAGACCUGCUGGAUCUCAGGUCCUCGCCAGAAAGCCCAGCCCUUUGGGGCGCUGUCUCCCUGCUUGAGAACUUUCCAAUUCCUUCCCUCCACCUCUGUGCCUGACUUCCAAUUUGUUGGUGUUUUCCAUUUCAUUUCCCUCUCGCUCACCUUUCCUCCCCGCGGGAUCAUUUAGGGCUUUGAUUUUCUUUUGUCAGAAUGAGCAUUUCCUUCGUCUCACAACCGUCCCUUCCCUCCUCCCACCCCCAUGACAUCGUUUGAUUCAGCUGCUUCCUGCACCUGGCUUUGCCUCACACCAACCGGGAGGGGAGGACCACAGCCAGCAGCCCCCGCCUCGCCUCCCUCC
rnacentral:lncRNA from 1 species